rnacentral:rRNA from 1 species
GACGGAGGGUGCAAGCGUUGCUCGGAAUCACUGGGCGUAAAGGGUGCGUAGGCGGUCUCGCAAGUCUGGCGUGAAAGCCCAAGGCUCAGCCUUGGAAGUGCGCUCGAAACGGCGAGGCUGGAGUGCCGGAGGGGAGAGUGGAAUUCCCGGUGUAGCGGUGAAAUGCGUAGAGAUCGGGAGGAAUACCGGUGGCGAAAGCAGCCCCCUGGGCUAACACUGACGCUCAUGCACGAAAGCGUGGGGAGCAAACAGG